UACGUAGGUGACAAGCGUUGUCCGGAUUUACUGGGCGUAAAGAGCGCGCAGGCGGUCGUUCAAGUCGAGUCGUGAAAGCCCCCGGCUCAACUGGGGAGGGUCACGCGAUACUGAUCGACUCGAAGGCAGGAGAGGGUAGUGGAAUUCCCGGUGUAGUGGUGAAAUGCGUAGAUAUCGGGAGGAACACCAGAGGCGAAGGCGGCGACCUGGACAGGUACUGACACUCAACUACGAAAGCGUGGGGAGCAAACAGGG
rnacentral:rRNA from 1 species